UUCAACUUGUCAGCUCAGGUAAUCGAACCAGCGACCUCUGGCCCAACGGUCAAACCCGUUAGGCUACCUGCCAACCUUCCAACCCUCAAUUUGUCAGUAACGUGUGAUGAUGGGUCAACCCAGGUCCUGCUAGUUCAGACUAUGAAGAUUUGAGGUCAGUGUGACCUGUCCCAGUGUGAGGUCUAUGAAGGUUUUCCAAUAACACCUUGAACCUGUAUAACUCCUCUACAGACUGGGAUUCAAAGGAUUCAAAGGCCAUUUGUGCCUCUGAGGAGUCAACGUCUGAAGCUAUCCAAAUCCAGGUCAUGCAUUUCUGAUCUCUCUCUCUCUCUGGACAAAUCAACAAUGUGAUUGAUGGCUGAAGUGAAGAGGGAGUGGUAAUAAGAAAAGUCAGUCUUGCUUUGGGAGAUGAUAAGGUAUUACUAAGACACUGAUGACAGAGAUGUUAGAUGUAUUGCUUUGGGAGAUGAUAAGGUAUUACUAAGACACUGAUGACAGAGAUGUUAGAUGUAUUGCUUUGGGAGAUGAUAAGGUAUUACUAAGACACUGAUGACAGAGAUGUUAGAUGUAUUGCUUUGGGAGAUGAUAAGGUAUUACUAAGACACUGAUGACAGAGAUGUUAGAUGUAUUGCUUUGGGAGAUGAUAAGGUAUUACUAAGACACUGAUGACAGAGAUGUUAGAUGUAUUGCUUUGGGAGAUGAUAAGGUAUUACUAAGACUGAUGACAGAGAUGUUAGAUGUAUUGCUUUGGGAGAUGAUAAGGUAUUACUAAGACACUGAUGACGGAGAUGUUAGAUGUUUCUGUUUCAGCUCUUCUCUACAACACUGAAAUGAGAACACACUAUUCUCUGCGUCUCAGAAUCUCUGAACACACAACUGAGAUAGGAUGGGCUUUACUCUGUAUCACUUCAUAGUGCCUUAAUGAGACUUAAUAAAAAGUUGAUGGCAUCUUUAAAGGCCACAGCAGUUUUUGUUUCUCUAUAAGCACUGCGCUGCACUAAUGGCCUAAUUUGGGGAUGGAAGUGAAGAAAAAGUGCAUUGACCUGCGGCUUGGACUCGUCGCCCUUUCAAUGUCAGGAAAACAGAUUGAUAAAGACAAGUACAAACCCAUACUGAGCUGAUUGGUAUCUACUGCAGUGAGCAGACAUACAGUAUGGGCUAAACAGUGUGAAGAACAUGACUUGUGUGCCAGAAUGUCUUAGUUGGAAGUGCAGCAGUGCAGGUACAGUAUAUGGCACAGGGCCCUGAGAUUCACCUCGCUGAGAAGUCAAUCAUAGCAGAAUGUUUUUAUUCCCUGGCUUUAUGAUGCAAUUAUCAUUCCAAUUGCAUAGUGCUGGCUACAGCCUAACUGUGUCCAAGCAGCUUCCACUUCAAAUAUUUCUCCCUCACUUUUCAUCUCCUAGUAGCUAAUUAAGAUAUUAGUAAUUGGCUCCUUUGACAAGCAAUGUGGGGAGAAAACUGAAAUAGCAAAUAGGACAUCUAUCUUGGAAGCAUUAUAUUGGUUGUAUAUAGAAAUGAUCCCCUUCCCAUCUUGGGCAAACUGAGAAUCUGGUUCCUACAAAUGUAUGCUAAUGUCUCAGAGCACACAAACUAUCUUGUUAUGCUCUCAGCCCUCAAGAGGCCUUUCUGGAAAUGUUCAAACUAUCUUUUCAACUUAAUAAUUUAAUUGCAGGACUCUUUUCCACCCGUGCUGACUGAUUGAGUAUGCAUUUCAAGCUCGUCAUAAGAGAGGUAGCAAGCUCAAACAGCACUGAUUUCUUCUUUACAAUAAAGAAAACGACCUCCGUUUGGAAUAUUGGGACUGUCUCUAAUUGGAGGAGAAAGAGUCCCUUUCUAACGGCGUUGGGAUUUUGAAAAAGUCCAUUUGCCAGAGUAAGGAAUCAUUAAACACACCAUUGAAGCCCUCUCCUUUAAUAUCGUUGAAGGGAGUUUUAGCCCAUUUAGUCUGUGGAUUGGGCAUUGUGAGCUUUUUCUAUGCAUAUUUUCAUUUCCUUGGCAGGGAAGUCAAGGAUACAAGCCUGAUCAAGCAAACACACACUGAAUAUUUAGUCUUGCAGCCUGCAUUAUCCAUUGAGUGUGGGCCUAAAGUCCAGUAUUCAUUUCCAUACAAACCACAGUGAAAUAAAGUAGAAUAACAUGUGACAGUAAGCAUCUAAUUGACAGAGUCUGACUUGUAGUUUUUUGUUUCUGUCUUUACAGUUGAUUCUUUUCACUCAGCGGUCUGACAUGGUCUGCAGCGAGGGGCUUGUGAGUCUCGGUGGAUAUGUUGGCCUAAGCAGCCGGGUCUGAAGUGAUUAUAACUGAGGAGCUAAUCCGAAGAAAGGCAAGCUGUCGUUUAUCGCUGCCUAACAGACAAAUCCACUCUAAAUGGCCGGAGAUAUUCACUCAUUGGCUCAAUAAAUCC